rnacentral:rRNA from 1 species
GAGGGCGUUUACCACGGUGUGGUCCAUGACUGGGGUGAAGUCGUAACAAGGUAACCGUAGGGGAACCUGCGGUUGGAUCACCUCCUUACGAAGA